CCCGCCUAACAACUCUCUGUCCCCUUAACCACCUACAGUUCCCAGAAUCCCUGGGGGGGAAGCCAUUCCUGUUCAAAGCGUCUUCAUAGCACUUCCAAUGGACGGUGCGCCUAAUGUGACCUAAUGUUUCCUCCCUCUUUUUCUUCUCUCUCCCCACUGCCCCAUCACUUGCAAUGCAGCAGAUGUCCGCCUGCAGUCUCCCUUCAAACCUCCUUCUCUCAGGUACGCCCACGGCCUUGUCCAUUGCUCACUGCCAGUAUUUCACAUUCAUUUCUCCGAUGUAAAUAGGGAUGUCCUGCGGUUCUCUUCAUGACUUUGAAGGCUGGACUUGGGGAAAACCUCACCGGCUCCGGACAUCCCUGUAAGGCAAAGGCAAGCAGGUGAGUGGGAUGGCCCCCAUCCGACAGCGUCCUCCCAAACUCCUCCUCUGUUUGGCUGCCUGUUAACAAACAAGGCUUCCAAACCAGUUUGCAUCCAUCUCAGCCAGCGUAGCCUCACGGCAUCAACUAGCCUGCAUGCAAACUCUUCCGACAACCAUCCACCAGCUGCAGCCUCGCCAGGUCCAUUGCCAGACAUCAACCAGCUUCAGAGCUGAAUAUCCGUCGCCUUCAGGUAGCGAUCCCACCAGCAAGUCAACUUUGUACUUGCCUUCUCCUUGUUCCACAGCAUCCAAGCACCGGGCGAUUGCCUCCUUCCACUUGCCAGCUUGCCACCACGGGGCAGGAGACCACCAGGGCUGAGUGCCACCGAGCUGCCCAUUUCUCUCUGGGGAGGGUAACUGCUGAGGCUUGCACCUUGGCCCACAUUUAUACCAGCUCAGCUGCCAAAUGUUUUUGUGACAUUAUAGUCAACCCACAGACAAUGGCAGCAGCUGGGGAGGCAUCAUCACCCACCCCCCAGCCCUCACAAUGGUGAGUGCAGCUCAGCAGCCAAAACAUACCCACACCCCAAGUUGUGCCAAUAUCUGUGAAGGCCACACUGGAAACCCAAGGGGGCAGGAGGGGGACAUUUUUCAGUCCAGUGGUUGCAUUUCCCCCCACACAACACUAGUCAAAUGCACAAAUGAACAGAGCAAUGAAAGCAAGCCUUAUCUUUGUUCAGGAAGCUGUUCAAGGAAUGACAUGCAGAGAUAAAGUUAGCAUCUCAGGAAAAAAGCACUUUUUCAUCAAUCAACCAAUCAUUUAUUGUAUUUGACUGAAAGCCAUUACAAAUCCUGUUACAAAACCACCAAACCCAAUAACCCAAACUAUAGCUCCCAGAUUCUUUGGAGGAAGAAGCCAGGUGGAUGCCAUGUGAACUCAGCGAUGUGUCAAGUGAUGGCUACAUACUACCUCCAGGUUCAAAGGUGGCAUAUUUCUGUCUAUCAGUUCCUGAGAAUCACAAGGGCUGUUGUGGUCAGAUUCUGCUUGCAGUUUUUGCGCAGGCUUCUGUGAGAACGAGAUGCUGAACUUGGGACACUGGCCUGAUCCAGGCAGCUUUCUUAUGUUACAAAGGAAGACUUCCAAGAGAAUACUUUUAAUCUCACACUCCAAGAAAUGCUGCAAGUUUCAGAAAGUCACAUAAUGCACUCCAAAAUCAGAAAUUUUGAAACCAUUCCAGCACUGUGGCAUUUUGCUUUUUCUCCGCAUCUCUUAUCUGAACUAUGUUCUGGCAGUUUCUUUGAGUAUCUUUUUUCCAAUUUAUUUUUAUUUGGUAACCAUUUCUCCCUUUCUGAGCAAGGAACAAAAACAUUCCAAGUUCUCAGUGUCCCUGACUUAAGAGUCUGACUCCUCAGACCUGCCUACCAAGCGCUCACUGGCUGGUGUGCCUUUGAAGGUGACUCGGAAACUACAAUUAAUCCAGAAUGCGGCAGCUGGAGGGGUGACUGGGAGUGGCCACUGGGACCAUAUAGCACCAGUCCUAAAGGCUCCCAGUAUGUUGCCAAGCACAAUUCAAAGUGUUGGUGCUGACCUUUAAAGCCCUAACAGCCUCGGUCCUUAUACCUGAAGGAGCAUCUCCACCCCCAUCGUUCAGCGCUGAACGUCCAGCGCCGAGGGCCUUCUGGCGGUUCCCUCAUUGCGUGAAGUGAGGUUACAGGGAACCAGACAGAGGGCCUUCUCGGUAGUGGCGCCCACCCUGUGGAACACCCUCCCACCAGAUGUGAAGGAAAUAAGCAGCUAUCCUAUCUUUAAAAGACACCUGAAGGCAGCCCUCUUUAGGGAAGUUUUUAAUAUUUAAUGCUGUACUGUUUUUAACAUUUGAUUGGGAGCCGCCCAGAGUGGCUGGGGAAACUCAGCCAGAUGGGCGGGGUAUAAAUAAAUUAUUAUUAUUAUUAUUAUUAUUAUUAUUAUUAUUAAAAACAAAACAGUAUUUAGGCAAAAUUAUUUAUUCAACGGCACAUGCACUCCACUAGCCAUUUACAAACCCUUCAGGAAUGCAUGGUUUACAUUUGGUAUCUGUAUACCAGUUUUAUUUUGGUUUUCUUAAGCAUAAAGGAGUGAAUGCAUACAAAAUAAAUAAUUGCAUAGCAUAAAUAAAAUCCAUUGUAUAAAUAAUAAUAGUGCACAUCACUUUUUCCAGUCACAUAUAAAUAUUUCAAUUGACUUAUUUUUAACCUACAACAUGAGGGUAUGUUUGAAUAUACAAAUAUGCCUGAAGGAGCGUCUCCACUCCCAUUGUUCAGCCCAGACGCUGAGGUCCAGCUCUGAGGGCCUACUGGCAGUUCCCUCCCUGCGAGAAGUGAGGUUACAGGGAACCAGGCAGAGGGCCUUCUCGGUAGUGGUGUCCUACCUGUGGAUGUCAAGGAGAUAAAGAACUACAGAACUUUUAGAAGAUACCUGAAGGCAGCCUGUAGCAGGAAGUUUUUUUUAUGUUUGACAUUAUUUUUUAUAGUUUGAUGGAAGCCUCCCAAAGUAGCUGGAGAUAAGUAAUAAAAUAUUAUUAUUAUUUAUUUAACUAAGAGAAAAGUUAUGAACUAAGCACACGAACAAAAUGUAGUGUGUGCACCAUUUCAUGUUUUACUGGAAAAUCUUAGGUCACUGUUAACUGAUAGGCAGGGCCUUGGGGGGGGAGAAAUUCCCCCAUGAAUCUGACUUACGACUUCAGCACUGCCACUACAGAGUGACAGUGUCAUCAUAAUUUCACCAUGGCAACCAGCUGCUUCAUUUCCACUUAUUUGAAAGGCAGGUCAGUGAGUAUUUAUUUUAUUUAUUUAUUUAUUUAUUUUUGUAUAUAAUAUUUAUUAAGUUUUCCAUUUUUGUCCCAGGCAGGCAGAGAAACGUUACAAGAGGCAGACAGCAAGGAGUACAUCUUUGUAAGAAGAAAAACAUACACUAGAGAGAAUGAAUGAAUAAAUAAAUAAAUAAUGUUACGUUUUCAUUCCAGGGUUGGUGAAAUAAAGCC